UACGUAGGUGACAAGCGUUAUCCGGAAUUACUGGGCGUAAAGCGCACGCAGGCGGCGCGCUAAGUCUGACGUGAAAUCUCCUGGCUUAACUGGGAGGGGUCGUUGGAAACUGGUGUGCUUGAGGCGAUGAGAGGGGUGUAGAAUUCCCGGUGUAGUGGUGGAAUGCGUAGAUAUCGGGAGGAAUACCAGUGGCGAAAGCGGCACCCUGGCAUUAGCCUGACGCUCAGGUGCGAAGGCGUGGGGAGCGAACGGG
rnacentral:rRNA from 1 species